ensembl:lncRNA
GACGGAUCAGUCAGGUGAGAUGGGUAUAAAAAUAAGCGCACCCGACCGAGGGACACCACACGGAGCGGAGACAGGGUGAGAGCACACUGGAACAUCUGGAGAACAUCUGGACCACAGAGCAGCAGAUCAACCAAUCAGAGAGCAGGAGCAGAGAGGAGGAGGGUCAUUCGGUGAUUGACAGCUGAUAAGCGACAGAUCCGUUGAUCGGAGGAUGUUGAUGUGGAGGAGCUUCCUGUGUGUGUCUCUGGUCUGCGGUCUGACCCUGGACCAGAACUCCAUCAGGUCCUCCAAGGAGACCACGCAGCUCCUGGACCGUUUCCAUGGUGACCAGGUGGAGCGUCCCGUGCGGCGGCGGACAGAAACCACCUUCAAUCCCAACAGAAGACAGACAGCUCGGUGCUCGACUGAGGACUGCUACGGAGCGCCGGUGGGAGGCUGCAGUAACAGAGCUCAGAGGAGACCGUCCCCACAGGACAGACCGGUGGACAGAGAGACGGACAGACAGAUCCACACAGACGGCUUCAACAGAACCAAAGCUGUGGAGAUGGCGGUCUGCGUGCGUUCCGGGGACUGCGCCGCCGGGCUGUGCUGCGUCCGGUACCUCACCGGGCGGCGGUGCCAGCGGAUCCCGGUGGAGGGCGAGGCCUGUUUGCUCAAAGGCUCGGGCAAACUGAGGAGGAAGCUGGGCCGCUGCGACUGCGGCCCGGGUUUGUCCUGCGGCGCCGCAAGCCGGGCGGAGUCGGGCCGGGCGAAGGGGCAGGGCGUGUGUAAGCCCCGCCCCCCUGGGCAGGGCCACAGGAACACAAGGCAUUCUGGGAAGAAAAGGAGGACGGCCUGUUGACACUUCAUGAACUCUGUUAAUUUAAGUAUAAUUAUUCCCACGAGUUCAGACGGUAGAACAGUGGUUCUCAAACCGCCGCCUCAUCGCCGCCCGACGGAGACGGAACCAAACGGCCCGUGCUGAGUUUUUAUUGAAAUAAGGCAUUGUGUGACUGUGUGAGUCUGUGUGUGAGUCUGUGAGUCUGUGUGAGUCCUUCUGUGUGACUGUGUGUGACUGUGUGAGUCUGUGUGUGACUGUGUGAGUCUGUGUGAGUCUGUGUGUGACUGUGUGAGUCUGUGUGACUGUGUGAGUCUGUGUGAGUCUGUGUGACUGUGUGUGACUGUGUGAGUCUGUGUGACUGUGUGAGUCUGUGUGAGUCUGUGUGUGACUCUGUGUGAGUCUGUGUGUGAGUCUGUGUGUGAGUCUGUGUGACUGUGUGAGUCUGUGUGAGUCUGUGUGUAACAGCAUAAAGAACAUGUACCUUUCAUUUGAAACAGUUCUGUCCAAAUGUAAAACUUGUAAAGAGAAGAAGCAGGUGGACCAAACUGAUGUUCCACUGUGGAUCCAUCCGUCUUCUCUACGUAGUUUGUGUGUCUGUGUCCUUGAGCAAGGCACUGAAGCCCGGUGCUUCACACCAGCAAACUGCUCCUUAAUUACUAAGAAGGAGUAAAAUGCAGAGAAUAAAUUCCCCAUGUGGGAUUAAUAAAGGAUUAUAUGUAUAUUUCCCAGUUUGAGAACCACUGAGUUAGAAGAAUGUUUUCGUUUGUUUACAUUAUUGUAUUCAAUAAAA